rnacentral:rRNA from 1 species
GACGAAGGUGGCUAGCGUUGUUCGGUGUCACUGGGCUUAAAGAGUAUGUAGGCGGAAAAGUAAGCGUUUUGUGAAAUCCCUCGGCUUAACCGAGGAAUUGCUUGGCGAACUGCUUUUCUUGAGGCAAGUAGGGGUGCAUGGAACUCUUGGUGGAGCGGUGGAAUGCGUAGAUAUCAAGAGGAACGCCAAUGGAGAAAUCAGUGCACUGGGCUUGUCCUGACGCUGAGAUACGAAAGCGUGGGUAGCGAACGGGAUUAGAUACCCCGGUAGUCCACGCCGUAAACGAUGUCUACUAGGUUGCGGGUGUUCUGACACAGUCGCGGCCGAAGCAAAAGUGUUAAGUAGACCGCCUGGGGAGUACGGUCGCAAGGCUAAA